GCAGAGGCUGCAGCUGCCUUCGCCUUUUCUUCCUCCUCCUGCUUCCAGAGGAUGAUGGGAUGGAUGCCAGGGCUUCGAUUCUGGGCGUUUUGUUCCAGCUGUGCAGGACUGGGUUGGAAGGAGAAAAAGGUUGGAGACCACUGGUUGAAGUGCGGAGGGAAGCUGCCAACCUGAAGCUGUGAGGCUCAGGGUUCAGAGCCUUCUUCUGGAUGUCUUUGUAAACUGGAGACUUGAGGUAACGGAAGAACGUGUCCUGAAAUGAAAAGUCCAAGGAUGAAAAGAUGGGACUGCAGACAGUGGGAGCAGUAAGACGUGAGUCUGAGCAGCGUCCAGCACGUAGCGAUGAGGAUGUUCAAGACCUUUCACCGUGAGACCCAUGGUCCGGCCAUCAAUGUUGAUCCAGCGAGGAGCAUUAGGAGCCAGGAAGGUAGGAACUCCGGUCGACGCCCUGCUCUCCCUCUUUCCUCGCCUUUCUUAUCUGUCCUCAGUGGGAACUUUCAAAGAAUAAAUGUGAAAGGAGGAAAUCCUGAGGCUCGGUUCCUGGCUGCUGUGCUUUCAGGUGUGUAUUAUUCUCACCAGUGAUGACAUGGGGGAUGGUCGUGACGUUUAAUUUCUGCUCUGAGCCCUUCACUCCAGUUUUUGGGUCCUGCAUCUCCACCACCAGGGCCUCCAGCUGCAAGUGAAAAAUAUAUUUCAUGUCAUUUUUAUCACCACCACUGAGGUCUAAUAUUCCUGGUUUGGAUAAAUGUAGGGACAUUUGCUCAGGGCAAUCAUCUGUGUCUCAGUUUAACACAGACAGACACUAGCAUUAGGGACACAUCGGCAUGUAGACCAGUACAGCCUCAGACUAAAGACGCUCACGUCAUUGAGAUUAAAACCCUGACACUUUCUUUCAUUUCUUAGACACAGUUGCAGCAUUUACUGUGUUUACUCUGUUUUUCUGCCCUGGGCUGUGACUACAUUUCAGCUUUUACUGCAGCAGAGGAGCUAAUAGGAUUUCAGAUAAAUAAAGAGACGGUCUGCAGCAGCCUGGCGCUCUUUAAAUCAUCUGUGAACUUUGUACGUAUGUUCACAUGCACAUAAUUAGAUUCUAUAUGAAACCGGGGAGGAAGAAAAAAAACAGCCAAUGAGAAGAAAGUCUGGUACUGUACACUGGGUAUAAAAAUAUAAAAAAUUUUUUGGAGCUGAUGUGCAAAAAUAAAACAUAUAUUUUAAAAAAAAAA